AUACGGAGGGUGCAAGCGUUAUGCGGAAUCACUGGGCGUAAAGGACGCGUAGGCGGGUUGGCAAGUCAGAUGUGAAAUCCUACAGCUUAACUGUAGAACUGCAUUUGAAACUGCUAACCUAGAGUAUGGGAGGGGGAGAUGGAAUUAGUGGUGUAGGGGUAAAAUCCGUAGAUAUCACUAGGAAUACCGAAAGCGAAGGCGAUCUCCUGGAACAUAACUGACGCUAAGGCGUGAAAGCGUGGGGAGCACACAGGAUUAGAAACCCUUGUAGUCC
rnacentral:rRNA from 1 species